GCUGGGACAGGAAGGGCUGUGGUUACCGCUGCUGACAAUCAGCUAGGAUGAAAAGAGGAAGGCAUUGCCACAGGUCUCAGCUAACAGGGAACGGAAGUUCCCAAAAUGGGGCUGUUGCAUCCUGUCUAUAAAGAGCACGGUGAAUACAAUGGAGGAGUUCGGUGCCGGGAUAUUAGUCCUGAUGUCUGGAGUUAGGCUACAGCAAGCAUUCCGUAAGUGCCCUCCCAAUGAGGGGCCAUUUUCAUUUCCUCCAAAAAUACUCACGGAGGCACAUAAAGGGAGGGAAGCGGACAAGAGGGCCUGUGCCUUACGCCUUUGCUCUUUAUAUCGGUAAGUGCGUAUUUAUAACCCUUCUCCUAUCAGCCGUCCUGCAGGGAUGCCUUCAGAGCUCUGAUCAUCCUGAGGCGGCGGGCUGUCAGGGCUCAGGGCCCGGGCUCUGAAUCCUCGCACCAGUACUUCCUAACUGGGCCACUCUGGGCCUUCAACUCUUCAUCUGUAAAAUGGGAGCAACAGACGUCACCUCACAGAGUCAGGUGUUCAUUACAGAACACGGUCCACAGGUCACUUCCACGAACGCCUCUCAGACACAUCUACACAUCAUUUCUCAACUACUUGCCAUUUUGCAAACAACUGUUCCAAAGAUCACCAUCAAAUGCUAAGAGCAUGAAAAGCAUGGAAGUCAAUCUAAUAAUGACUAGUUAUCCUACGAACCGCUGCAAGAACAGAGCUUCUCAAUCAAAAGCUUGUGUGCAAGACAGGUGGUCCUAGCCCCACAGACCCCAUGUUGCUGGAUUCCACACCUGGACCCUAAUGGUACUACCACAGACUGGUUAACUUGGCUGGAACGCACGCAAGCUCCUCCUCCUUUGUUUAUCUGGACUUUAAAAAAAAUGUUUACUUAUUUUGAGAGAGAGAGGGAGGGAGGGAGCAGGAGCAGGAGAGGGACAGAGUGAGAGGAAGACACAGAAUCCGAAGCAGGCUCCAGGCUCUGAGCUGUCAGCACAGAGCCUGAUGUGGGGCUCGAACUCACAGAGGGUGAGAUCAUGACCUGAGCUGAAGUCAGAUGCUCAACCAACUGAGCCCUCCCAGGCCCCCCUUUAGCUCUUCCUCCUUUGGACUCCCAGCUUUCUUUUGGCUGAUGCUCAUUCUUAGAAGUCAGAGACUUACUGACUUCUUUUGUCCUCAUGAGGCUGAACGUGUCGACACCUCUAAGGAAGCCAGAAAUGAUGUGUCCAACAGUUCAACCUUCGGGGGUACUUGCCAGAGGCCACGGAGAGCCUGGGCACUCUUCACAUAGGGGUAAUUACGAGAGCAGACAACACAAACCUCAGGAAGAUCUUCUAUUUACGAGAAUCUGACUUCGGACUUAGGAAAUCAGACUAGCUCACUUCUGUGUAUUCCCUAGACAUCCUCAGCACCCAGGACAAUGCAGGAAUUAACUGCAAAUUCAAAUGUUUAUCGAGAGCUUACUCUCGGCCAGAAAACUUUGCAAGGUACGUGACAUAAAAUACCGCAACAGCCCCGCAAAGCUGACAUUUUCAUCCCCGUUUUGCAAAUGACGCAACUGCAAGUCAUGAAGAUAGAGUGGCUCUUCCGAUGUCCCACCCCAGAGAAGAGGUCUGUGCAGAGCCUGGACACAGACGUAAAGACCACCUGUGGUUGCUUAGUAUCCCAUAAACAGGGCUGCUCUAGGGUGAGGCUUCCUGUAGACUCCGUGGCCACUUCCAGGCCCUCGACAGAACCACACGCAUCUCUGUUGGCACCUCACCUACAAACGACAAGACGCUGAACGCCAAUUCUGCUUUUGCUCUUGGCAAGGAGCCAAAUGUAAGGCUCCUCUAGGACAGAUGCCAUAUGGAAUCGGACCACAAGUUAGAGAGCACCAAGCCAGCGGGCAUUGGUGGUAUCAGUCUCAGAGCCAAGAUGAAAAUACAAUGAUGUUUGGGGGGAAAAAAUGAGAGUACUUGCUUUUUGCUUUUAGCACAGGCACUGACCUACUUCCCUACUCUAUUUUUGCGUAAAGAAAACUAGAUCAACAGAGGAUAUGCAAAAUCUUCUGAGGUUCCUCUAAGCAGUAAAAUAUUACAAAAAUUAUAAUAAUUCAUUCGACAUAUUAUUGUCAUUAACUCCAAGACAAUAAGCUUUUAUAUGGUCCAGUGAGUUGCAAGUUUCCUUUUAGAGAGUGGUAACAAAAGAAUUGAUAGACCUAUUCUUUCAUCUUGUUGCUUGGAAAGCAACUUUCUGCACUCUAUCUCCUUUAAUCUAUAGGAAAAGAAGAAUGACAAACUUACAAAAUGGGUAUAAGAAGCGAUAAGGAGCUCUAAGCAAUUGUAUCAGUGCUGAAAAAAAGAGAAGACAUAAAAUGCCCCCUUCAGGAUACAGAUCAACCCCAAAACAACACAAAAGGGAUGCCUUGUCUUGGACAAAUUUUGUGUAAAGACAGCUAAUUUCCCUGAGGGUUUAUCAGCAAUCUUACUAUUCCUAUCCUUUUUAUCCAUCUUAUUUUGGUUUUUUUUUGGUCUUUUUUUUUUUUUUUUUUAGAAUGUCUUGUGUCCACACUGCCCAACUCUGGACAGUGGUGGAGAUGCUCUGUAACUGCACAAUCCAAUAUGGUAGCCAAUAGUUACAAGUGGCUACACCUGAAAUUAUCACAGCUGACAAACAAUUUUUAACUUUAUCUGUAAUUAAAUACCUCUAACUGCAAAUACACUUAAAAAAAAACUAAGUAGAGUUGAGAUUACUAAAAUAUUAUCUCCUCAGGAGGUUUUGGGAAAACCAGAAUAAGGGGCCAGGAAAAGGACACCAAUGCUGGGGGCACCUGGUAGCAAGUCUGUGGGCUGGUGGGCCGGAUGGUCCUGGGUUCUCGUCCUGGCUCAGCGUUAAUGUAACUGUGGGAUCCCAAUAAACCAUGUACCCAGCCUG